GACACUAUAGCUCAGUGGCUUAGAGCGUAUGAUUGCAAGGACUGCUAUCAUCAUAAGGUCCCGCGUUCGAACCGCGGUAGUGUCU